rnacentral:tRNA from 1 species
UGGCUCAGUGGUAGAGCGCUUGCCUUGCAUGCUUGAGGCCCUAGGUUCUAUUCCUCG